AACAGCCUAACCAGCUCUGCUAGGGCGAGUAAAAUGGUCAGAGUGAGGUGUUCUCUCAUUUGUGUCUGGAAGCAGCUAGCCAACGAGCCACCGUCAGCCAGUUAGCUGGGUGCUUGACUGCCCUUGUGAGGUCAGAACGCUCGGAUCAACCCUACUCCUCCGUCAGAGCGUCCAAUGUGGCUCUGAAUUUACGAACGCCAACAGCGCAAUUUACGAACACACCACCUAGGUUCCACUUCAUACUCCCCCGUCAGCUCUGAGACGCAAAAUAGUGUUAUUUUAUUUUGGAAUGUUGAACAUUUCAAAUUCGCGGAUCAUUCUUCAGUCAACUGACAGAUGAUGCAAGACUCACAAACGACCUGGAGGAUUUACAAACUGUUACAAAAGUAUUUUAAUAUGUAAUUUGCCCGUUAAGGUAUGCGGGAUCAGAAAAAGGAGAAGGGAUCAUGUCAAAUGUCUCAACCUCGGUGAUAGCUCAGCCAUCACCUCAUGAUUAUAUCCAGAUUUUUCAAGACAUGUUGAGUCAAAGCUGAUCUACUCUAACAGCUGACUGCAGUUAUUGUAUUUUCUGUGCAGUUUUAUUUAAUAGAGAAUACAUCUAAAUGUUACAUGAAAAAAUGCCCAAAUAGCUGGUGGAUUAGAUUUUUUUGUUUUGUUGAUCAACCUCACGUGCUGCAGAGUAGACUGGAUUUAUCUGAGUGCUAACCUCUAUGCAUGGAUAUGCUGAUGAGGAUAUAAGGACGGAAUACAUGUCAACAACUCCAACAAGACUGGACAUAGGACCCUAGUUGUAUUCUAUCUGGUGUCAAACAUUAAGCUCUCAUGGAUGGUAGGGCUUUCUGCUUCAGGAGAUUAAGCAAUAGAAGCUCAGAUCCCCAAACAAGAGAUGACAAUCUGGCUGUAAAGACUUGAAGAUAGUUGAGCCCUAUAACACAUUUGCCAAGUUAUUUUGUUGCUUCUGCCUUGUAUUUGUCAAUAAAUCUAGAUUACUUUGAUUUGGUGUGCAGGUCAAUUUGUGCUAUGGAUGUGCAUGAGUUCU